rnacentral:lncRNA from 1 species
UAACAAGUGAUUUGGCCAAUGUUUAUAGGAGAGAUGUUUUGAAAAAGAUGAAGAGAUUAAGAUAUUUUAUUUACUUGACAAAACAGAACAUAGGUGUUGACACAGUUUGAGUUAUCUGUCUGUCCAUCUGUCCUUGAUCAGGUUACCUCUUUAUGUAUUCAAUGGUAAAUAACCUUGUGUUGAAUAAUCCUUCAACAAUGAACAAAACCAAUAUUAAAAGGACUGGGAAUAACAUAAUGUAAGACAUUCAUAAGAUAAUAUCAAUGUCCUUGUUUAGACAAAUACAAUAAUGAAACAUUUUUACCAACCACAACCACUGGAUAGUAAGAUUCCUAGCAUUGCAUGGAAACAUGUUUGUCAGCAAUCAACCAUAUCUCCAUCUGGGGACAGUGGUGUAACUUUAUAAAAUUCAGG